UACGGAGGGGGCUAGCGUUGUCCGCAGUUACUGGGCGUAAAGCGCGCGUAGGCGGGUUGGUAAGUCCGCUGUGAAAGCCCGGAGCUCAACUCCGGAGGGUCGGUGGAUACUGCCAGUCUUGAAGGUGCUAGGGGGAGAUGGAAUUACCGGUGUAGCGGUGAAAUGCGUAGAUAUCGGUAGGAACACCAGUGGCGAAGGCGGUCUCCUGGGGCAUUCUUGACGCUGAGGCGCGAAAGCUGGGGGAGCGAACAGG
rnacentral:rRNA from 1 species